ensembl:lncRNA
CCCCUCCUCUUCCUUCAGUCCUGUCUCUCCUGAAAACAUUGUAGCCAGGCACAAUCACAAUCAAAGCAGCAUAUGGAGAGGUUUUAUGGAGCCAUGUCUCUGAGAGGCAGAGGAAGUCAAGGUUGGAGUCUGUGAGUAGAUGUUGAAUUUGAUCACUUUUUGGAAUGACACUACGAAUGUUCAAGUGCCCCCCUAGUAGUCCCUUGGGCUUAGCUCGUGGGUCCCAGACGACUCGAGAGUGAUUGACACAUUGAAAAAAUGUGUUUUCUGACGGCUGGGUUUAGGCCGUUUUGAUUAGGGGCAGUUCGGUAGCGCAAUUAACAAUCCCUCCCGCCUGCACUGGAUGCGGGGAACUAAUUAAAACAGCUUGCGUACCAGAAGCAGAGUCAGGGAUCGCAUAUAGCGACUUGGGUAUGUUUGAAGAGUCAAAAUCUAUCCUGGAGUCGAGAGAAACCAUGGGACCAUAGCACUCACCCACUUCCACACGAUCAGUGGAGAGGCCAUCCACUGCUUUCCACUCCGGUCAUCACAGCAGAAGCCAUCCACCAAUUAUUUGGGGAGCUGAUGAAGAAGAGGCAACAGAUGAACAGCUGAUGUCAUUCUGCCCCACGGUGUCCUGUUGUUUACUUGUGCAAUUUUGUAAUGUUACUUUGGGUUCAUAGCAAAAGUUCUGUCCACCAAACACCUUCUGCUUUAAAUAACAGUGCUGCUAUAAAAUAUGCUGUUACUGAGGUUUAUGAAGUUGAAAGUUUUGCCAAAAAAGUUGUUCUCGAAUUGCUCUCCAUGGAUUUCAAAUGGCGUUCCAUGUCUCAUGAGAAGCUGAAGUAGCAUGCUGUUAGCAGGCUUGGAGAGAUGCUGAUGGAAUCUAGUCAUUUUAGUCAUGGACUUACUGUUAUUUGGUCAAUUAUGUCUUAGUUGUCAUUAGAAUUUCAUAAUAAUGUGACACCUGAUGAGGAUGCACUGCCUUUCAUAUUGAAACAGAUCCAGUAUGUGACCAUUUUAUGUUGUCACUAGCAUUCCUGUUAAUUAAACAUUUGAAUAGUUCAUCCAGCAUACUCCGUGACGUGAUUAUGUGGCUACUUGUCCUCCAAAUACCAGAAGGUACUUCUUAAAAAAAAAUAUUAAAAAACUUUUUACCC